UGUAUCAAUAAAAUGUUUUAUUCCUCAAAUCAGUUUCAUAAAAAAUGCACUUUUGUUUCACAUAUAAGUACGUUAUUUUAAAUUAGACUUUAACACUACCCUCAUCUCAAACAUUUCAUCGGAUAAUCUAUGCGAUUUUGGUAGGUUGAUCAUAGUCGCGUAAGAAAAGAGUCUUUCAACUGGUCCUGAUGAUGGCAUUGGUGUAUUAAAUUUUUUGAAAAUAUUCAUGACUUGAGGGUGUCGGUGUAACAUAGAAAUGUUUUUGUCUUCAUCGCUGAGAUAGUUUGUAAGCAAAACAUCUGGUCGUGUAGAAUGAGGGGAAGACCCCGCUCCCUCGCCUUCAGAAGAGUCUGUUUCAAAGUCGAAGAAUGUGUCUUCAUUUGUUUUUGUUCUCGUACUUCCUUCUAGCGUAUCAUCUUGAUCGUGUAAUUGAUUUGCAAUUUUUUGUUUGAAUAUUGUCUUUAACCUGCGAUUGUGUUGGUAAUCAAUGGCAGUGAACCAUUUAUUCUUAAAUCGGGGAUAAGACAGUGCUGCUAUUGCGGCCAUCGUUCCUGUUGGAGUAUUUAAAUCAAAGAAGUCAGAAAACCUUUCUUCCACACUUGUCAAAUGCUUUGUGACUAGUGCUUGGCAAUAUAUCAAGUUUUCAUUUGCCAGUUUUGUUAAUUUUGUGCGCAAUGACAGCAAUGGACGCGAUUCUACGUGCACAUCGCCUAAAUAGCCUAAAAUUAAAAUGUCUAAGUUUUAAUCAUAUUUUAGACGGCGGAUUUAACAAGUGCUAUUCCAGAACGUCAAGCUGACUAAAUUUAGCCAGAUUUUAGACGGAUUCUAAAAUUUCUAAGUUGAAUUGAGUGUGUUGCCACUUUAAAAAAAUAAGUGAACGAAUGAAUGAAUGAUAUCUGUAUAAAAACUGUAAAAUCGUAUUUUCUUUUGGGUGAAAUAUGAUAAUUUAAUGAAUUUUAUUCCAUUACAUAUAUUUAACACUAGUGUACACACCUUAGACCACUAAAACGUUACUUUUUAAUUAUGUAAUUAAAAAUAAUUAAUCAAAUUUUAAUAGGCAACAUUUAAAAAAAUCUGCUGUCAAGUACGAAGAAGUUUGUAAACUUUGUUUGUAUUCCAAUUUGUUUGGUUUUGUUUGUGGAAAACGUGGAAAAUGUCAGUGUCGCGAAAGCGGAGCAAUAAAACGCAACAGGAGGUGCUCGUAGAGCAUCUCCAUGCUAACUUGAUGUUAGCAAGAGGAAAUACGGCUAGCCCCAAAGUGGCAGCAUUUUAGGCGGCCCUAACUGUUACUCUUAAUAGUCACGGAUGUCGAAGGACAGUGGCGGAGUGGCAGAGUAUUUGGUCGCAGUGGACACAGAAGGUCAAAUCUAAGUACAGACAAUACAGAGAUCAAACGGAGGGCACUGGUGGAGGUCCUGCAUUAGUCCGCCCACUGACAGACACAGAACUUAAGGUUUUGGAGGUCGUAGGAACAGCUGCAGUGGAUGGAUUUACCAAUCUGGAGACUCCACUAGUUGGUUCUGUUGAAAUUUCAACACCGGCACCAGUUGAUGAACAACCACCAGUUGCUGCCCAGCUGCCAAUUGCUAUCCAGCCAUCAGUCGCUGACCACCCACCAGGUGCUGUCCAGCCACCAAUUGCUGUCCAGCCAUCAGUCACUGUCCACCGACCACUUGCUGUCCAGCCAUCAUCUGCCAGUGUUGGCCGUAAUGGUUAAUUCUAAUUAACAAUUAAUCAAUUGCAUUAACCAUUAAUUCCGCAAUUAAUCAAUUGCAUUACGCAUCAAUAUAAUUAAAAUUAGUUGGAAUUGAA